AUUCUUAUAGUUGAACCACAACAGCAGCUUUUCACGCUACAAGCUUGGGUUAGACCCCCAAUGAGAAUU
rnacentral:tRNA from 1 species